GGUUGGGGCGGGGGCCAAGCGAGAGGGCGACGGGGUCGGAGGAGAGCGGCGACUCGGAGGAAAGAUGAGGCGGACUUCACUUUAUUGACAUUUCUUUCUGUCAUAACUUCCGCAGACGACCACUCUCACUGGAUUAGCCCUACUCUGUGCUCCUUUACCAAUCUAUGAAAAGCAGUUCCUUAUUAG